AUUGAACGCUGGCGGCAUGCCUUACACAUGCAAGUCGAACGGCAGCACGGGAGCAAUCCUGGUGGCGAGUGGCGAACGGGUGAGUAAUAUAUCGGAACGUGCCCAGUCGUGGGGAUAACGUAGCGAAAGCUACGCUAAUACCGCAUACGAUCUAUGGAUGAAAGCGGGGGAUCGCAAGACCUCGCGCGAUUGGAGCGGCCGAUAUCAGAUUAGGUAGUUGGUGAGGUAAAGGCUCACCAAGCCGACGAUCUGUAGCUGGUCUGAGAGGACGACCAGCCACACUGGGACUGAGACACGGCCCAGACUCCUACGGGAGGCAGCAGUGGGGAAUUUUGGACAAUGGGCGCAAGCCUGAUCCAGCAAUGCCGCGUGCAGGAUGAAGGCCUCGGUUGUAACUAGCUUUUGUUACGGUAACGAAACCGGUAGGAG
rnacentral:rRNA from 1 species